GUCCACCCCCCGCCCAGGCUCCUCGGUGAGACCUUCCACCAGCCCGCACCUCAUCGGUGUGGCUACCAGAAAACGGAUACUUACAAGUGGGGCUCGCAUUACAUUUCUGUGGGGCAGUGUUCUUUUCAGCACAGCUGGAAAGCUACACAGCUUCCGAAGGCAUGAGAGCGACUCAAUUUGCAAAAUCGACGCUGGGUUCUGGUGUUGGUCACGGCAGCCCAUCCCUCGCUGAUUGCAACAAAACACAAAAGGCAACUGUCUACGGACUGAAAAGAGCAAGUGGAUUGCUCAAAGGGCCCAAACUUGAAGACUCUUAUGGGAAUGUCAUGUCAACGGAAUCUACAGGGUUCGGCCUCCCAGUCUGGUUCCUUUCGCUUCGUGGUUGUAAGAUCACCUGACCCGUGUCUUCGCUGCCAGAAUGUGAAGCUGUGCACAGCGAGGAACCACGCCUGACUCGGCUCAAGCCCCUCACCUGUCCAGGACCAACUGCAACAGCGCCACCUUCAGGCCAUCGCGGGAAGAUGCAUCAUCUGAACCCUGCAA